ACCAUCGGAGGACGCGGUAGCUC
rnacentral:miRNA from 1 species